rnacentral:lncRNA from 1 species
GGACGACUGAGCCUGCUGUGCUGGAAUUGACAACCACGUACUAAUCCUCGAAGUCCGCUUGUUUUGAAAGUGAACAUAUCGUCAGUUCACCAUUUUAAUAUUAUCCGACAUUACUUAGGUAUAUAAUGCCAAUUUUUUAUAAACACUGAACAGUGGCGGACAAACUGCCUCCACCCCCCCCNNNNNNNNNNNNNNNNNNNNCCCCCCCCCCCCCCCCCCCCCCGCUGCCUGGAGCCUGGAGCCUUUUAAAUUAUGCCUGAAAAUCUAUGUAACAAACUGUAACAGUAAUUUUUCAUCCAUCAAAGUGUUCGUAGGCCAAAAUUCAAGCUAUACCCUGCAUAUUGCAUGCAAUCUAAAACAUUUUGAAGACAAAAAUUCCAGCCACGAAAAGUGGACACAUGUUGGCAACCUAACUCGUCCACACCCCCCCCCCCCCACACACCCCCAUCNNNNNNNNNNNNNNNNNNNNUUUUGUGUCCGCCACUGUAAUUGAAUCAAUUUUCCAGAUUUAAUAUAUUUUAUACCCUAACACAUCACAAAAUGUACAUAAUUUAAUUUCAACUGCUUAGAAAUUAAGCAUGGUAAAAUGUCACAUAGAUCUCCCCCAAAUUUCAACUGUUUAGAAAUUAAACAUUAGACGCGAUCGUUAAAUUGUAUUAAGCUUUAUUUUACCCAAGAAAGCAAAGAAGUUAUUUAGAAAAUAUAUUGCCUUUCAUACAAACAUGACGUGUUCUACAAGAGAGAGAGAGAGAGACCUAAAUGCGCAUGCGCUUACUAAAUUAUGCCAAUCUUAAUUAAAGUACUUUAUGUAAUAUACAUAACACGUGUCCAUAUGUUAGAACUUUAUUAAGUUAAAUGCAAGUUGAUGACAAUAUAUCAAGCAUGUUUCGCUCGCUACUCUGGUUUAAAUAAAUGAUUACAAAGCCCAGUCGAAUUGUAAUCAAGACUCAACGUUUCGACACUCCAGUCUAGUGUCUUCAUCAGGGGUGAUCUAAAGUUGCAACCAUAGCGAUUGUUUGUGGUAAUUACUUUAAAGUUUUCCCACGCAAUCUAGCUCGUGUUUGGUGUAACAUACAUGUUCUGCUAAAGCUGAUUUUCCCUUGUUUAAAGUUGAAACAGCCUUUUGAUGUUCUUUUAGCCGUGUACCAAACUGGCGUUUAGACUGACCCAAAUACUCUUUCUCGCAGUCACCGCAUGGUAUAGAAUAUACGGCAUGAGUUUUCUAAUUUGUUUUAACAGGAUCUUUUGGCUUUGCGAAAAUAUGGCCUAAAGUCAAAUAGGGUUUUAAGGCAACCUUAAUAUUACAAUUACUUAAGAUUCUCUUGAUUGGUUCCGCGACACCUUGAAUGUAUGGAACUACUGCAUAACCCUUUACACGAUUGCAACUUUAGAUGUAUGUGUCGAAACGUUGGGUCUUGAUUACAAUUCGACUGGGCUUUGUAAUCAUUUAUUUAAACCAGAGUAGCGAGCGAAACAUGAUUGAUAUACCUGGUUGCAGUGAACGAACAAACUUUAAAUAUAUCAAGCAUUCAUUAAUUAAACUUGGACUAACCCCAAAUAUAAUUUUUAGUUUGUGUGAUAUUUGUGUCAUUCUGAGAAGAAAUGUCAGUAGUGUAUCUUUAUGGUAGAAAACCUCAUCUUGAUCAACUUUUUCAUCGUCCAAGUUUCUGGAUAUGAUGUCAUUAGGUGAAUAUUGGUACAAAAAACAAAGGAAAAUUAAUUUGCAAUUCACCUAAUGACAUCAUAUCCGGAAACUUUGACAGUGAAAAGGUCACUCAAGAAGAGAUCUUUUUUGUUAUAAAGAUAACAUUUCGUCUUCCAAUGAUACAAAUAUUACACAUACCAAAAAUCAUAUUUGUGGUUAGUCGCG